rnacentral:rRNA from 1 species
AACCUGGUUGAUCCUGCCAGUAGUCAUAUGCUUGUCUCAAAGACUAAGCCAUGCAUGUCUAAGUGUAAGCGACUUACAGUGAAACUGCGAAUGGCUCAUUAAACCAGUUAUAGUUUAUAUGAUAGAUGUUUAGACGGAUAACCGUGGUAAUUCUAGAGCUAAUACGUGCGUGAAGGCUCGACUCCUUGGUAGGGCUGCAUUUAUUAGAUAAAGCCAACUCCGCUUGCGGACGUGUGGUGAGUCAUAGUAACUGAGCGAAUCGCAAGGCCGAUGGCCGCGAUAAGUCAUGCAAGUUUCUGCCCUAUCAGCUGUCGAUGGUAGUGUAUUGGACUACCAUGGCGUUAACGGGUAACGGAGAAUUAGGGUUCGAUUCCGGAGAGGGAGCCUGAGAAACGGCUACCACAUCUAAGGAAGGCAGCAGGCGCGUAAAUUACCCAAUCCUGACUCAGGGAGGUAGUGACAAGAAAUAACGGAGCUUUGCCUCACGGCAUUGUGAUCGUAAUCGCGGUUAAUUUACACCCCUUAACAAAUAUUCAUUGGAGGGCAAGUCUGGUGCCAGCAGCCGCGGUAAUUCCAGCUCCAAUAGCGUAUAUUAAAAUUGUUGCAGUUAAAAAGCUCGUAGUUGGAUUUCUGCGGGCGCUGCGUCGACUCCCGAGUGGAGAAGACGGGGCGCGCGCAUCGUUCUGUCAGCACGGGUUUGAUUCUCACGGGUCGAGCUCGCGCGCAGAUGUUUUACCUUGAGGAAAUUAGAGUGUUUCAGGCAGGCUUAGCCGGAAUACGCUAGCAUGGAAUAAUGGCGAGGACUUGGGCCCCAUUCGUUGGUUUGGGGGCCAGAGUAAUGGUUAAUAGGGACAGUUGGGGGCAUUAGUAUUUAAUUGUCAGAGGUGAAAUUCUUGGAUUUUUUAAAGACUAACCUGUGCGAAAGCAUUUGCCAAGGAUGUUUUCAUUAAUCAAGAACGAAAGUUAGGGGAUCAAAGACGAUCAGAUACCGUCCUAGUCUUAACCAUAAACUAUGCCGACUCGGGAUUGGGCGAGUCUUCACUCGUUCAGCACCGUCCGAGAAAUCAAAGUCUUUGGGUUCUGGGGGGAGUAUGGUCGCAAGGCUGAAACUUAAAGGAAUUGACGGAAGGGCACCACCAGGAGUGGAGCCUGCGGCUUAAUUUGACUCAACACGGGGAAACUCACCUGGUCAAGACACAGGAAGGAUUGACAGAUUGAUAGCUCUUUCUCGAUUCUGUGGUAGGUGGUGCAUGGCCGUCCUUAGUUGGUGGAGUGAUUUGUCAGGUUAAUUCCGUUAACGAACGAGACAUGUGCCUGCUAACUAGUCCUGUCUCCUUCUGGAGCAGUAGACUUCUUAGAGGGACUUUGCGUGCAAGCGCAAGGAAGCUACAUGCAAUGACAGGUCUGUGAUGCCCCCAGACGUCCAGGGCCGCACGCGUGCUACAUUGAGGCCAUCAACAAGCACUGCUGCGCCGAAAGGACGCGGCUAAUCUCUAGUUGGCCUCGCGAUGGGGAUAGAUCUUUGCAAUUUUAGAUCUUGAACGAGGAAUUCCUAGUAGGCGCGAGUUAGCAUCUCGCGCCGAUUACGUCCCUGCCCUUUGUACACACCGCCCGUCGCUUCUACCGAUUGAGUGGUCCGGUGAACCCUUCGGACGCGCUCCCGCGCAAAAGUCGAGUGAACCUUGCCACUUAGAGGAAGAAGAAGUCGUAACAAGGUAUCCGUAGGUGAACCUGCAGAAGGAUCA